rnacentral:rRNA from 1 species
UAAAGCAAGAAAGGGCGUAUGGGGAAUGCCUAGGCACACUCCGGCGAAGAAGGACGCAGCAAACAGCGAAAUGCGACGGUGAGCGGUAAGCACGUGAAGAGCCGUCGAUAUCCGAAUGGGGGAACCCACACGGAGUCAUAUCCGUGUAUCACAUGUCGAAUACAUAGACAUGAUGAGGCGAGACGCAGGGAACUGAAACAUCUAAGUACCUGCAGGAAGAGAAAAUAAGAAUGAUUUUCUGAGUAGCGGCGAGCGAAAGGGAAAGAGCCCAAACCGAUCUGAGGAUCGGGGUAGUAGGAUCAUCGAUAAAUCAAACAGAGGAUCAUAGAGGAAUCACAUGGGAAGGUGAGCGAGAGAGGGUGAGAGCCCCGUACUCGAAAUGAGAGACUGGAGAGAGAUGACACCUGAGUAGGGCGGGACACGAGAAAUCCUGUCUGAAUCAGCCGGGACCAUCCGGCAAGGCUAAAUACGAGAGAGUGACCGAUAGUGAACCAGUACCGUGAGGGAAAGGUGAAAAGAACCCCGGGAGGGGAGUGAAAGAGAACCUGAAACCAUAUGCCUACAAGAAGUCAGAGCCCGUUAAAGGGUGAUGGCGUGCCUUUUGUAGAAUGAACCGGCGAGUUACUGUAUGGAGCGAGGUUAAGCAGGAUAUGCGGAGCCGAAGCGAAAGCGAGUCUUAAGAGGGCGCGAGUUGCAUGCAGUAGACCCGAAACCGGGUGAUCUAGCCAUGACCAGGUUGAAGUUGGGGUAAAACCCGAUGGAGGACCGAACCGACCCCCGUUGAAACGUUGGCGGAUGAGUUGUGGCUAGGGGUGAAAUUCCAAUCGAACCCGGAGAUAGCUGGUUCUCCCCGAAAUAGCUUUAGGGCUAGCGUCGAGAGAAGAGUUGCGUGAAGGUAGAGCACUGAAUAUGUGAUGGCCCCAUCUCGGGGUACUGAGCAUAAUCAAACUGCGAAUGUCACGCCAACAUGCUCGGCAGUCAGACAGCGGGUGAUAAGGUCCGUUGUCAAGAGGGAAACAGCCCAGACCAUCAGCUAAGGUCCCAAAAUGUAUGCUAAGUGGAAAAGGAUGUGGAGAUGUACAGACAACUAGGAGGUUGGCUCAGAAGCAGCCAUCCUUUAAAGAGUGCGUAACAGCUCACUAGUCGAAUGACUCUGCGCCGAUAAUUUACCGGGGCUAAGCAUACUACCGAAGCUAUGGAUCCCAAGGGAUGGUAGGGGAGCGUUCCAUGAACGGAGAAGUACGACCGAAAGGACGUGUGGAGAUCAUGGAAGAGAGAAUGCCGGUGUGAGUAGCGGAACGUGGGUGAGAAUCCCACGCACCGAAAACCCAAGGUUUCCAGAGGAAGGUUCGUCCGCUCUGGGUAAGUCGGGACCUAAGGCGAGGCCGAAAGGCGUAGUCGAUGGACAACAGGUAGAGAUUCCUGUACCCGUAUAUAUGUGAAGGAAUGACGGAGAGAGGAAGCUGCAGCCAGCGGCUGGAAGAGCUGGUGCAAGCGAGAUAUCGGGAUGGCAGGCAAAUCCACCAUCCGAAACGAGAAGGCGUGAAGCGUACGGAAAGCUACGGCGAGUACGGAAGGCAGUGGAGGAACUUCCAAGAAAAGUUUCUAACGUUAAGUAUAUAUGGCCCGUACCGAAAAUGGACACACAUGGGUGAGGAGAGAAUCCUAAGGUGAGCGAGAGAACUAUAGCUAAGGAACUCUGCAAAAUGACUCCGUAACUUAGGGAGAAGGAGUGCUCAUAGAGAUAUGAGCCGCAGUGAAACGGCCCAAGCGACUGUUUACCAAAAACACAGCUCUCUGCUAAGCCGCAAGGCGAAGUAUAGGGGGUGACGCCUGCCCGGUGCUGGAAGGUUAAGGGGAGGGGUUAACGCAAGUGAAGCCCUGAACUGAAGCCCCAGUAAACGGCGGCCGUAACUAUAACGGUCCUAAGGUAGCGAAAUUCCUUGUCAGGUAAGUUCUGACCCGCACGAAAGGCGUAACGAUUUGGGCGCUGUCUCAGCUGUAGACUCGGUGAAGUCUUAGUACCUGUGAAGAUGCAGGUUACCCGCGACUAGACGGAAAGACCCCAUGGAGCUUCACUGCAGGUUGAUAUUGGGAUUUGAUGCAGCAUGUACAGGAUAGGUAGGAGGCAAAGAGAUGGAUACGCCAGUAUUCAAGGAGCCGCUGUUGGGAUACUACCCCUGUUGUAUUGGAUUUCUAACCGGACGACGUAGAGCCGUUGACGGGACAGUGUCAGUCGGGCAGUUUGACUGGGGCGGUCGCCUCCCAAAGAGUAACGGAGGCGCCCAAAGAUACCCUCAGCUUGGAUGGAAACCAAGCGCAGAGUGCAAAGGCAAAAGGGUGUUUGACUGCGAGACCCACAAGUCGAGCAGGGACGAAAGUCGGGCUUAGUGAUCCGGCGGUGCUGAAUGGAAAGGCCGUCGCUCAACGGAUAAAAGCUACCCUGGGGAUAACAGGCUGAUCUCCCCCAAGAGUUCACAUCGACGGGGAGGUUUGGCACCUCGAUGUCGGCUCA